AGUCGCCACGGGAAUACGAAGGGUGCAAGCGUUACUCGGAAUUACUGGGCGUAAAGCGUGCGUAGGUGGUGGUUUAAGUCCGUUGUGAAAGCCCUGGGCUCAACCUGGGAAUUGCAGUGGAUACUGGGUCACUAGAGUGUGGUAGAGGAUAGUGGAAUUUCCGGUGUAGCAGUGAAAUGCGUAGAGAUCGGAAGGAACAUCUGUGGCGAAGGCGAUUAUCUGGGCCAACACUGACACUGAGGCACGAAAGCGUGGGGAGCAAACAGGAUUAGAUACCCCUGUAGUCCCUGUCUCUUAUACA
rnacentral:rRNA from 1 species